CCUACGGGUGGCUGCAGUGAGGAAUAUUGGUCAAUGGGCGCGAGCCUGAACCAGCCAAGUAGCGUGAAGGAUGACUGCCCUAUGGUUUGUAAACUUCUUUUAUAAAGGAAUAAAGUGAGGCACGCGUGCCUUUUUGCAUGUACUUUAUGAAUAAGGAUCGACUAACUCCGUGCCAGCAGCCGCGGUAAUACGGAGGAUCCGAGCGUUAUCCGGAUUUAUUGGGUUUAAAGGGUGCGUAGGUGGGCUGUUAAGUCAGUUGUGAAAGUUUGCGGCUCAACCGUAAAAUUGCAAUUGAAACUGGCAGUCUUGAGUACAGUUGAGGUAGGCGGAAUGCGUGGUGUAGCGGUGAAAUGCAUAGAUAUCACGAAGAACUCCGAUUGCGAAGGCAGCUUACUAAGCUGCCACUGACAUUGAUGCACGAAAGUGUGGGUAUCAAACAGGAUUAGAUACCCGUGUAGUC
rnacentral:rRNA from 1 species